rnacentral:rRNA from 1 species
AACGAACGCUGGCGGCAUGCCUAACACAUGCAAGUCGAACGAGACCUUCGGGUCUAGUGGCGCACGGGUGCGUAACGCGUGGGAACCUGCCCUUAGGUUCGGAAUAACUCCCCGAAAGGGGUGCUAAUACCGGAUAAUGUCUUCGGACCAAAGAUUUAUCGCCUUUGGAUGGGCCCGCGUUGGAUUCGCUAGUUGGUAGGGUAAAAGCCUACCAAGGCGACGAUCCAUAGCUGGUCUGAGAGGAUGAUCAGCCACACUGGGACUGAGACACGGCCCAGACUCCUACGGGAGGCAGCAGUGGGGAAUAUUGGACAAUGGGCGAAAGCCUGAUCCAGCAAUGCCGCGUGAGUGAUGAAGGCCUUAGGGUUGUAAAGCUCUUUUACCCGGGAUGAUAAUGACAGUACCGGGAGAAUAAGCCCCGGCUAACUCCGUG